rnacentral:lncRNA from 1 species
UCCUACUGGUGCCAAGGUCACCAAGGCUGCUGCUAAGAAGGGUGCCAAAUGAACCGUGCAAGUUCAUGUUGGUCGGCCCUCAAAUGAAAUUUACUACUACAAUAAAUCGUGUCAUGCAAACUUUUCAUGUGCUGCUUCAGUAGUUUUGUCUAUGUUUUAUUUGUUGUGUCCUAGUUUUCUGCCCUGUAUGCUGGUUAGCCUCUCUCAGAAUUGGGUGCUUGACAGACGGUGGCAGAUCCUACAAAACUGAGUCUGUGAUUUCUGCUUUUGGAUGUUUUUGGUUUGAGGUGCUUGGGAAUAUGUUACUAUAAUUCCAGGCUGCUCAAGAGUUUUGUGGUUUGCCUUCCAAGGAUAAUAUACUACUAUAAUUCGUGAAAAAAAAACAAAAAAAA